rnacentral:rRNA from 1 species
AUUGAACGCUGGCGGCAUGCUUUACACAUGCAAGUCGAACGGUAACAGGUUAAGCUGACGAGUGGCGAACGGGUGAGUAAUGCAUCGGAACGUGCCCGAUCGUGGGGGAUAACGCAGCGAAAGCUGCGCUAAUACCGCAUACGAUCUGAGGAUGAAAGCGGGGGACCGUAAGGCCUCGCGAGCUCGGAGCGGCCGAUGUCAGACUAGGUAGUUGGUGGGGUAAAGGCUCACCAAGCCAACGAUCUGUAGCUGGUCUGAGAGGACGACCAGCCACACUGGGACUGAGACACGGCCCAGACUCCUACGGGAGGCAGCAGUGGGGAAUUUUGGACAAUGGGCGAAAGCCUGAUCCAGCAACGCCGCGUGCAGGAAGAAGGCCUUCGGGUUGUAAACUGCUUUUGUACGGAGCGAAAAGGCCCUCUCUAAUACAGUGGGCUCAUGACGGUACCGUAAGAAUAAGCACCGGCUAACUACGUGCCAGCCGCCGCUGUAACAC